rnacentral:lncRNA from 1 species
GCCAACUCAAGCUCCCAACAUAUUUACGUUUUCUUAAUCAUAUAUUUUCCUCUUAUAUCAGUGGAAGAGAUAGCCACCUGACAUUUUCUGUGUUCUUGAUUUCCUGCCUCUCUUCCUUUACAGGAAGCUCACUUCCUUCUCUCAUCUCCCAUCUAUCCACGCUAUGCAUGCCAGGAACCUGCUUGUCAUAAUACACAGGCAUCCAGUGACAGCUAAGCUGAACUUCAGAGCCAACAGAGGCCGCAGCAACUUUAGCUGGUUAUGCAGAAGAUGCGGCUCCUCCCAGAUCCUUUGUAUUUCUUCUACUUCACCAUUUUCCUGAGCUCACCUCCUGUGAGAAUCUCCAAGGCUGGCUUCGUGAUUCCAGGACUCUAAGCUCCAGAAGUCACAUCUAUUUCACUCGCUGGAAAGUAAGAAUUACAGUCACAUUGGUACUGGGGAAGCUGCUGUGUGGACGAUAGUGAGCUAUCUAUCUGGGGCUUCUACUUCAUGUUUUUGUGACAACUGUGGAUGUUGCUCUGAUGACAGAGUGCUUGCCUAGCAUGCAGGAAGCCAUGGGGUAGAUGCUCAGCCCUGUAUAAAAUAGGCAUGGUGGCACAGGCCUGUCAUCCCAACACUCGGGAGGGAGAGACAGGAAAUCAAGGAACUCAAGGUGAUCCUUGGCUACUUAGUGAGCUUGUGGUUUGUCUAAAUAACUUUAUUCCUUUAGGUUCAGUUUUCUCGUAAAUAUGUAAACUGUAGACAGUCACUAUAUUACACCAAACACCGGAUGUGUUUCCUUCUUUUCCUGUUGCCUGUCACUACAACCUUCCAUGUUCUUUGUUUACAACAUCUGGAAACAAAAUUAAGCAAAAAUUAGCUAAAUAUUAUAAAGGUACUCAUGUCAAGUCACUGUCCUAGAUUUAUAUCUAGGAGGAAUCACAUAUAAGGAUCAUGUAGUGAUUGGAGCCCUUUCUACUUUAGGGUAGACUAAGGGAAGACAUUUCGUAUUUUAUCUUCAGAGGCUAUCUUUUGGAAAGAACUCUUAAAGCUGUGUCUUUCCCAAUGUUAGCUUUAUACUCAGAAUCUUGAGUUUGAUGACAAAAGGCAGUUGGAAUGGAACAGCCCUUCUGGUAAGCAAACAGGACUGGCCAGGAUUUCUCUAAGGAGAAAUUCCUGUAAGGAACCUGUGUCUUUUGAGAGAACCUGUUGCCAUCCUCAGAGAAAAUAAACAGACAUUGAGAAAGUUGGAACUGGUCCUG